CUUCCCCCAGGCGCUGGGGCAGGGCGGGGGCGCUCAGGGGGCGGGUUUCACAGCCCCCGUUUGGCUGGCAGAGGGUCGGAGUCCCGGAGCCAGGCCAGGGACACCCCCCGCCCCCGGGGCCAGAGCGCCCCUGGCUCCCUUCCUGUGCAGCAGCCCAUGAGGAAGCAGCCCAGUGGCCGUGGCCCAGGCCUGGACAGCAGGGGAGCCCGGUUCUGUUCUAGUCUUGGCUCUGCCACAUGUUCACUGGGUGUCCUUGGUUGAGUCACUCACACCCUGUGCCUCAGUGUCCCCUGCUGGGGCUGUUUACUUACCCGUGCCUGGAGGAGUCAUUAGCUCUGGUCUGACUGGGCUUCCCAGUGACUAGUGGGUGCGGUGGCCACACUCCCAGCCCUAGAGAAACAGGCCCAGCAGUCACUGGCUCACCACCCAGGUGGGGGGGAGGGGCGAUUACCUCCCUGGGUUGUUUCUCCCUGACUAACCCUUUCCUUUCUCAGAACUGAAUCGCUCCCAGUACCGGGCUAACCCCCCACCAAUUUCCUCUCCCAACUCAGCACUGCCACCUAAACCCUGGUCUGGGCACAUGGCUACAGGCAGGGGAGAAGGGCGCCAUCUAGCGAGCACACCUGUGGCCUGCACAAGUUAUUAAACCGUACACAUCUGGAGCAAGGCUACAGGCGUGGGGCAGACGCUCAGGACCUAGAGAGCACAAAGAUCUGCAGUGACCCCUGUGGCUAAUCUCAAACAACGGUUUUGUGCGCUCCUGAGAUCUAUACCUCCACCCCCACCGCAGGACAUUUGCCCCAGUGCUGACAUGGGCAAAGAAAAAUCCUGGUCCCUGUUUUUCAGAGCAAAGAACUUCCGAUUUCUCUCCAUCACUCUCCAUGCAAAUCCUCAAGACUCACAGCUUAGCCCCUCUUCCCCUCCACUGGGAGUGGAUGGGCAGCACCCUUGGGGGGCCCCGCUCGGACUGCACGGCCAGCAGGCAAUAGCCUUCCUGCCCAGCGUCUCACCUGUUUCUCAAAGCGUUUGGAGGGAGGAUAAGACACAAUGAGCAGAGCCAGACUAAAGCUACCACCAUCCAGCCUCUGCUUGCUGCUCUCAGAAACCAAAGCGGCCUGUAGGAAUGUCCCUGUCCCUGGAGGCUGGCAGAACAGGUCCAACCACCGUUUGCUGCCCACCGGCUGACAGGAGCUCCUGGAAACUGAGAGAUUAACCAGGGGUGGCCGUAUGAGAGCAGGCUGGGAAAUGCCAUUAGAACACUGGACACAUCUGGAGUUUGUUGCUGUCCCACCCGGUCUGGCAUGCUGGGUACAUGGCCCAUGGCGUUUGGCUGAGAAUGGAACAAAGCGGCCUGGAAUUUCACCAGCUCCCUAGGGAUUUUCUACUUCUCGAGUCCCUCCCCUCCCUCUUCCUGAUGUUACCAUCCCUUCACACAGAAGAGAUCGGAUUAUGG